ACAGACUCGUUCGAGAAGAGAGAGUGCCGCGAGCCAGGGACGACGCGAGGAAGAAGAGGAGUCGUCGCACCCAGCCGCUGUGUAGCUCGCCAUCACCGGCGUCUCACCGCCAUCGCUAUGGAGACCGAACGUCGUCGAUCUUCCUGCCGCAACCUUGGAGUCCGCCCCGUCAUUGAGGAAGACAGAGAUGAGGGAGGAGCUGUGAAUGCGCCGUGGUGGUUGCCGUCGCCACUGCCUAGGUUCCUGUGGUCCAAGUCGCCAUUGAUGGAGAAGACGCCACUGAGGAGCAGAGCCUCUAUUUCGCGUCAGUCACGACGGAGCUACUAUGGAUGUUGCUAUCUUGCUGCCACUGAAGGUCCAUAGCCGCCAAUCCACGCCGCUGCUGAAGAUGAGUUGUGUUUGCUCUUGCUUCCUAUUCGAUUCAAAUCCUUUGUCCUGUUGCAACCAUCGGCGCUGCCUUAAGAAAAUGAGACUGUUAUUAUUCCGGUUAGUGCUCCUGCUGCCGCCGCUUCCUCGUUCUGUUAUUAUUGUCUAAUUGAGAUCGGAGAGGAGAGGAGGCGUUUAACUUUGUCAUUGUUGCUGCCAUGGAAAUAGAUGCUGGAAACUGCUAAUGGAGCAGCUGCGUUUAGUGAUUUUGACAUUGAGAGUUGUGUUUGCUCUUGCUUCCUAUUCGAUUCAAAUCCUUUGUCCUGUUGCAACCAUCGGCGCUACCUUAAGAAAAUGAGACUGCUAUUAUUCCGGUUAAUGCUCCUGCUGCCGCCGUUUCCUCGUUCUGUUAUUAUUGUCUAAUUGAGGUAAGGCAUUCUGGCUCUUGCUUCAAUUUGAGUUAGCAUGGAGUUUACAGAAUUUUUACUAUUAUCCUAUUUGAAUUCACCGUUUCUGAUUGCUGCCAUGACCGCUGCCAUGACCACCUCACGAUGCUACUGGUUCUGUUUGAAAAUGGAUGCUACUUCUGGAAUCCCAGAUCGGAGAGGAGAGGAGGCGUUUAACUUUGUCAUUGUUGCUGCCAUGGAAAUAGAUGCUGGAAACUGCUAAUGGAGCAGCUGCGUUUAGUGAUUUUUGCGAGUUUCGACAUUGAGCGACAGGUUUGAAGACGCAAUUUGAAGCUGCGAGCGAUCAGUAGGCUUUCUUUAUG